UCAGUCUGGAAGCUGAGGUAACCACCCUAUUGUCCAAGCAAGCAAGUGCGUGCAGAAGCCAGAAUAGCAGGGUUAAAAUUCAAACAGCAGUUUUUACCUAAGUAUGGUUGCUACCAUACUUCAGGGACGUUCCUGGUCUGUCAGUCCCAGCUUUGUGCCUGUGGACAGGUUACCUCAUCUUCCUGAGUCUCAGUGCUCCCGUCAGUUAACAGGUGUAAGAAUCCUCCCGUUUCCAUUGAAGCUGAAGCUGCCGAAACCUCACCUGUCGCAGUGGGUCAGGCACCCGGUUAAAGGGCUGAUUUGACAUGUGGACUUCACCCCACGGAAUAAGUUGCUGCUUCUCUUGGCUGAGGGAUACUGUUCUUCACAUAGCUGUGAAAAAGGAGACGAACAGAAGAAAUUCACCUUUAAGUGACAGCUGCCACUGACACACAGAAGCACUCACUCAAGAUGGCUUAAAGGAGAAAGUGACUCAAUGCAUGGCUGGAAAAUAAGCAA